rnacentral:lncRNA from 1 species
GCACCCGGCUCUGUGCGCGGGGGCGGCGGGGGCUCUGCGCGGGGCCGGGCUGGGCUGGGCUGGCCCGCUCCGGCGCCGGGGACCACGCGCGACUGGUUAGAUCUUGUCGUGAUCUCUGGAAAACUGUGACUAUCUCACAUGUCCUGCCCAGCUCGGAUCCCCUGCGCUAACGAGCCAGGCCCCCCUUGAUUUGUGGUGCCCUCUGUGCGCAGCGAGAGCUAUAACUCAAGGUGUGCACGGGGAGAGUGAAGCGACCACGCACCUGCUUCCAAUCGGGCUCGGGCGCGAACACUCAGGCUGAUUCCUGAAGGUCGUGUUCUGAAGGAAAAGACAGGGCAUGCACUAGCCACAGGUGACAUUCCCACCCGUACAACCGCGUGGUGGGCGCGUACAUCCCACAUCCAACAUUGACCCAUGCAGGCGCCCGCCCGCUGCGCACACCGGUCGCAGGGCACUUCGUUGUUGAACGUUGGGAGCAGCGUUUGAAGGCCGGAUCUCUCCUGGCAGUGCGGAUUCGGGACCGGCGGAAGCAGUAUGGCCUCUGCGACCGUUUUCCCUACUUUUCGGGACCGACCCCAGGGCCCUCACAACUCCUCAUCACCGCAUAUGUGAGCGCCGCCCCCACAGGGUUUUCUCCACGACCUCGUUCUUGGCUAGGUCGCACCUCUCUUAGUACCUCCUCUCUGGCCAGAACGAAUCUUUGACUCUGCGCUGCGCAGUCUACGCAGACGGGGCAGGAUCCACUGCAGUUUUCCACGGGCAAAUACCUGCUGGCUCCACCUUAGGC